GGGCCCGCACAAGCGGUGGAGCAUGUGGUUUAAUUCGAUGAUACGCGAGGAACCUUACCAGGGCUUAAAUGUGGAGUGACAUGGCUAGAGAUAGCUUUUUCUUCGGACACUUCACAAGGUGCUGCAUGGUUGUCGUCAGCUCGUGCCGUGAGGUGUCAGGUUAAGUCCUAUAACGAGCGCAACCCCUAUCGUUAGUUGCUAGCAGGUAAAGCUGAGGACUCUAGCGAGACUGCCGGUGCAAACCGUGAGGAAGGUGGGGAUGACGUCAAAUCAUCACGGCCCUUACGUCCUGGCCACACACGUGCUACAAUGGUAUGGACAAUGAGCAGCCACUAUGCGAAUAGGAG
rnacentral:rRNA from 1 species